GGGAAAUGUGGCGUUUGGGAGUGAGCGUGUCGGACGGGGCGAAGGCGGCAAGUCCCCCUGACCGGGGCCUGUCCGUAGCGGGUGCGAGGCCCAUAGCCGCCUCUGCCCCGUCCGAAUGCGAUCUCCUGGGAGUCGGGUUGCUUGGGAGUGCAGCCCCAAUCGGGUGGUAAACUCCACCUAAGGCUAAAUACCGCCGUGAGACCGAUAGCAAACAAGUACCGUGAGGGAAAGUUGCAAAGAACUUUGAAGAGAGAGUUCAAGAGUACGUGAAACUGCUCAGAGGUAAACGGGUGGGCCCUCGAAAUCCUGUGGCGAGAGGAUUCAGUCUGGGCCGGACGACUUCCCGGUGGAAAGAACGUGGCAGGGCUUCCGCCGAGCGCGGGCCGUCCACCGGGUCGACCUCGGCCUUCCCAGACGCAUUUGUCUCUCGUCCCGAGGACGCUGCAGCCGGUCUGGGAGUUUUUGCAAGCGCGACGGCCUGAAGGCCGGGAACCGGCAGGUGGCCGGUGGCUCGCCUCGGCGGGUCGCCGGUUGUUAGCCAUCCCGGCAGUGGCUCGUCCCCAGACCGUGGUGUCGCGAGUCCCCYYYCGGGGACUCCACGUCUCCCACCCCACGAGUCGCGGGACAGACCGCGGCCCGGGGCCCUACGGCUCGACCGACGCACUUCCACGGAGUGGUCGGGAGGCCCUGGGCCCCCCAGCCGCCGCGGCGGAYCCGCGGGGGACCGGAGGCUGGCAGCGAGUAGGUCGGUCACCCACCCGACCCGUCUUGAAACACGGACCAAGGAGUCUAACAUGUGCGCGAGUCGACGGGUCUUGAACAGGCCCGUGGGCGCAAUGAAAGCGAAGGGCACGCCUCGAGCUGCCCGAGUGGGGAUCCCCGUCGGWGACGGCGGGGCGCACCCGCGACCCGUCCUAUCCGGCUCGCCGGUGGGGCGGAGUCUGAGCGCACGCGUUGGGACCCGAAAGAUGGUGAGCUAUACCCGGACAGGACGAGGCCAGAGGAAACUCUGGUGGAGGUCCGCAGC
rnacentral:rRNA from 1 species